GACGAACGCUGGCGGCGUGCUUAACACAUGCAAGUCGAACGGAAAGGCCCUGCUUUUGUGGGGUGCUCGAGUGGCGAACGGGUGAGUAACACGUGAGUAACCUGCCCUUGACUUUGGGAUAACUUCAAGAAACUGGGGCUAAUACCGGAUAGGAGCUCCUGCUGCAUGGUGGGGGUUGGAAAGUUUCGGCGGUUGGGGAUGGACUCGCGGCUUAUCAGCUUGUUGGUGGGGUAGUGGCUUACCAAGGCUUUGACGGGUAGCCAGCCUGAGGGGGUGACCGGCCACAUUGGGACUGAGAUACGGCCCAGACUCCUACGGGAGGCAGCAGUGGGGAAUAUUGCACAAUGGGCGGAAGCCUGAUGCAGCAACGCCGCGUGCGGGAUGACGGCCUUCGGGUUGUAAACCGCUUUCGCCUGUGACGAAGCGUGAGUGACGGUAAUGGGUAAAGAAGCACCGGCUAACUACGUG
rnacentral:rRNA from 1 species